GUGGACAGUACACAGUUGGCCUACACAGGGAACAAAAAGUGCGCUGCAUAAGAUAUCUAACUACAAUCCAUCGAAACCAUACUUGCGUACUAUCGUUUUCCUGUGAUGUAGAUCUUAAACACCUGCCAGUGAAUCCUGUGAAGGACUCUGAAGGAAGUGGAAUUUACUGUCGUGCUGUACACAUGCAUUUGUUGCUGCCAUAAAGCAAUCAGCCCUUUUCGCGGAAUAUCUGCUCACCAACUUGCAGACAUGGAAAACAGAAGCCUUUUGCAUUAUCAGAAAUCACCGUACCAUUGGAAUGAUUUCAAAAUAUUUAAAGGAAAGAGAAACAACCAAACGAGGCUGAUAUGAACUCCUCCAGGCCACUGCCGGACUCAGCAGGGGGAUCGAGACCUUGUAAGAACCAAGGUCACAAAAGCAAAACAAUCCCUAAUCAACCACCCUUCUUUGUAAGUCUGCAAUGCUCGGUGUAUGAAGAAUGGGCUUUAUUCAUUUCAACGCCCCCCUUUCUGGCUCCAGAAUUCCUGGCUGACAUUCCCUCAAUCUUCCAGCUCCAACAGACCUCAAAAGGAACUAUUUUUCCUCCCUCGUGGAGUCUGGCCCAAGGGCAUCGCCGUCCCGUAUAGCCUGGAGUUCCUGCACCCUUUUGGCCUAAAGAUGCUGUGUCUUUAAAACAAAGGACUCUAACAGCUGUCUAUAUCUGGAGUGGGGAAUGAGGGCGAAAAAGAGAGAGGGAGGGGGUACUGCUGCUGCUGCUGACUUUGUUUUUUUCCCCUUGCCUUUCCAGCCUGGAAUGCCCUUGUGACAACUGCGUAUCAGUAUCCAAAGUGCUGCAGAACCGCAGUGUUUUCACAGCCCUGCGAACUCAUUCCGACUGUGUUUUUUGUGAACCUAGCUCUUGUUAGAAAAUCCACAUUCCUCCGUUACGGCGGCACUCCUCCGUGCCGUUGCUCCCGUGUUGCCAUGGCUUGGAAUUAGGACGAAAAGCAUGGUGUACACAAACACAGGCUGGCAGGCCAUGUGAUGUUGACCACCUUUGGACCCAGUGGAGACUGGCUGUCUUAUGAUGACGGGCCAAAGGUCUCUCCUACGCCACACACACACACACACACACACACACACACACACACACACACACUCUAGUUGGGCUCUAGACUUUCUAUGUGAGUGCAUAUAAUAUGCAUUUCCCUCUAAAAAAGUUCCUACCGCUCAGCACGGUUGCAAGGACGACUGUCAGUUAAAAAAAUAGUUCACCCAGAAAUUAAAAUUCUGUUUCAUUUAAUCAACUGUAUGUUAUUACAAACCUGUACAACUUUAUUUAGUAUUUAUAUAUUUUAAAAUAUGUCUGUGUUACUUGGUCCAUCCAGUCAAAAUCAGUUGGGACAGAAUUUACAUUUUUGCGCGAACUAUGCCUUUAAAAUGUGAAGUAUCAAAAACCUUUUAAUUUUACACAUCCUAGAGCCUUGUAAUUUUACAGUCACUAAACAGAUAUGAGUGGAUUAGCCAAAACAUGAUACGCUAGUAUGU